rnacentral:pre_miRNA from 1 species
GGGGGGAGCGCCGGAUUCUGGGCUGUGUCUUCCGACGCCUUGGGCUCUGGGGCCCGCGCCACUAGAAUCACACUCCCAGGGCCGUGCAGCCCCCU